rnacentral:rRNA from 1 species
CACGUAGGGUGCGAGCGUUGUCCGGAAUUAUUGGGCGUAAAGAGCUCGUAGGCGGUGUGUCGCGUCGGCCGUGAAACCUGCAGCUUAACUGUGGGCUUGCGGUCGAUACGGGCAUCACUGGAGUUCGGCAGGGGAGACUGGAAUUCCUGGUGUAGCGGUGAAAUGCGCAGAUAUCAGGAGGAACACCGGUGGCGAAGGCGGGUCUCUGGGCCGAUGACUGACGCUGAGGAGCGAAAGCGUGGGGAGCGAACAGG